rnacentral:rRNA from 2 species
GGUCGCCGGUGGCUAAUACAUGCAAGUCGAACGCGUUGGCCCAAUUGAUUGAUGGUGCUUGCACCUGAUUGAUUUUGGUCGCCAACGAGUGGCGGACGGGUGAGUAACACGUAGGUAACCUGCCCAGAAGCGGGGGACAACAUUUGGAAACAGAUGCUAAUACCGCAUAACAGCGUUGUUCGCAUGAACAACGCUUAAAAGAUGGCUUCUCGCUAUCACUUCUGGAUGGACCUGCGGUGCAUUAGCUUGUUGGUGGGGUAACGGCCUACCAAGGCGAUGAUGCAUAGCCGAGUUGAGAGACUGAUCGGCCACAAUGGGACUGAGACACGGCCCAUACUCCUACGGGAGGCAGCAGUAGGGAAUCUUCCACAAUGGGCGCAAGCCUGAUGGAGCAACACCGCGUGAGUGAAGAAGGGUUUCGGCUCGUAAAGCUCUGUUGUUAAAGAAGAACACGUAUGAGAGUAACUGUUCAUACGUUGACGGUAUUUAACCAGAAAGUCACGGCUAACUACGUGCCAGCAGCCGCGGUAAUACGUAGGUGGCAAGCGUUAUCCGGAUUUAUUGGGCGUAAAGAGAGUGCAGGCGGUUUUCUAAGUCUGAUGUGAAAGCCUUCGGCUUAACCGGAGAAGUGCAUCGGAAACUGGAUAACUUGAGUGCAGAAGAGGGUAGUGGAACUCCAUGUGUAGCGGUGGAAUGCGUAGAUAUAUGGAAGAACACCAGUGGCGAAGGCGGCUACCUGGUCUGCAACUGACGCUGAGACUCGAAAGCAUGGGUAGCGAACAGGAUUAGAUACCCUGGUAGUCCAUGCCGUAAACGAUGAGUGCUAGGUGUUGGAGGGUUUCCGCCCUUCAGUGCCGGAGCUAACGCAUUAAGCACUCCGCCUGGGGAGUACGACCGCAAGGUUGAAACUCAAAGGAAUUGACGGGGGCCCGCACAAGCGGUGGAGCAUGUGGUUUAAUUCGAAGCUACGCGAAGAACCUUACCAGGUCUUGACAUCUUGCGCCAACCCUAGAGAUAGGGCGUUUCCUUCGGGAACGCAAUGACAGGUGGUGCAUGGUCGUCGUCAGCUCGUGUCGUGAGAUGUUGGGUUAAGUCCCGCAACGAGCGCAACCCUUGUUACUAGUUGCCAGCAUUAAGUUGGGCACUCUAGUGAGACUGCCGGUGACAAACCGGAGGAAGGUGGGGACGACGUCAGAUCAUCAUGCCCCUUAUGACCUGGGCUACACACGUGCUACAAUGGACGGUACAACGAGUCGCGAACUCGCGAGGGCAAGCAAAUCUCUUAAAACCGUUCUCAGUUCGGACUGCAGGCUGCAACUCGCCUGCACGAAGUCGGAAUCGCUAGUAAUCGCGGAUCAGCAUGCCGCGGUGAAUACGUUCCCGGGCCUUGUACACACCGCCCGUCACACCAUGAGAGUUUGUAACACCCAAAGUCGGUGGGGUAACCUUUUAGGAGCCAGCCGCCUAAGGGUAGCCGUUUCC